rnacentral:rRNA from 1 species
UGUGACGGCGUGCCUUUUGCAUAAUGAACCUACGAGUUACUUUUUCCGGCAAGGUUAAGCAUCUUGAGAUGUGGAUCCGAAGCGAAAGCGAGUCUGAACAGGGCGGAUAGUCGGAAGGAGUAGACGCGAAACCAAGUGAUCUACCCUUGGGCAGGUUGAAGGUUAGGUAACACUAACUGGAGGACCGAACCGAUAAGCGUUGAAAAGCUUCCGGAUGACCUGAGGGUGGGGGUGAAAGGCUAAUCAAACUUGGAGAUAGCUCGUACUCCCCGAAAUGCAUUUAGGUGCAGCCUUGAGAAUUACUAAUGUGAGGUAGAGCGACUGAUAAGAUGCGAGGGCUUCACCGCCUAUCAAGUCUUGAUAAACUCCGAAUGCGCAUUAGUUCGAUCUCAGGAGUGAGGGCAUGGGUGCUAAGGUCCAUGUCCUAAAGGAGAAGAAUCCAGACCAUCAGCUAAGGUCCCCAAAUAAACACUAAGUUGAACUAACGAAGUCAGAUUGCUAAGACAGCUAGGAUGUUGGCUUGGAAGCAGCCAUUCAUUUAAAGAGUGCGUAACAGCUCACUAGUCGAGGAGUUUGGCGUGGAUAAUAAUCGGGCAUUAAGUGUUUUACCGAAGCUAUGGGAUACGUAAGUAUCGGUAGGGGAGCAUUCCACUCUGCGUUGAAGGCGAAGCGUGAGCUUUACUGGAGCGUGUGGAAAAGCAAAUGUAGGUAUAAGUAACGAUAAAGGGGGUGAGAAACCCCCUCGCCGCAAGACUAAGGUUUCCUGAUCAACGCUAAUCGGAUCAGGGUUAGUCGGGUCCUAAGGCUCAGCCGAACGGUGAUGCCGAUGGCAGAACAGGUUAAUAUUCCUGUACUAGCAUUAAGAGUGACGUGGAGACGGAGGAGUGACAACGCCGCGGACUGACGGAAUAGUCCGUUAAAGGGUGUAGAUGUUGAUUGUCCCAGGCAAAUCCGGGAUAAGAGUCGAACCUGAUAGUAUACCAAUUUCCUCGGAAAACGGUAAUAGUGCGUGUAAACAUACUCCCAAGAAAAUCCGCUAAACUUAAUCUUAAUGGUACCCGUACCGCAAACGGACACACGUAGUCGGGUUGAAUAUACUCAGGCGCUUGAGUGAAUCACGGUUAAGGAACUAGGCAAAUUGACCCUGUAACUUCGGGAUAAAGGGUCCCUACCCGGUGACGGGAGGGCGCAGAGAAUAGGUCCAGGCAACUGUUUAACAAAAACACAGGGCUGUGCAAAAUUGAAAGAUCACGUAUACAGCCUGACACCUGCCCGGUGCUGGAAGGUUAAGAGGAGAUGUCAUCGCAAGAGAAGCAUUGAAUUGAAGCCCCAGUAAACGGCGGCCGUAACUAUAACGGUCCUAAGGUAGCGAAAUUCCUUGUCGGGUAAGUUCCGACCUGCACGAAUGGUGUAAUGAUCUGGACACUGUCUCAACCGUGAGCUCAGUGAAAUUGUAGUAUCGGUGAAGAUGCCGAUUACCCGCGAUGGGACGAAAAGACCCCGUGAACCUUUACUAUAGCUUAACAUUGAAUUUGGGUAAUUGAUGUGUAGGAUAGGCCGGAGACUUUGAAGCAGGUACGCCAGUAUUUGUGGAGUCGCUGUUGAAAUACGGCCCUUUGAUUAUUUGAGUUCUAACUCGCCGUUGCGAGGACACUGUUUGGUGGGUAGUUUGACUGGGGUGGUCGCCUCCAAAAGUGUAACGGAGGCUUCUAAAGGUGCCCUCACGCCGAUUGGUAACCGGCGGCAGAGUGUAAUGGCAUAAGGGCGCUUGACUGGGAGACUCACAAGUCGAUCAGGUAGGAAACUAGAGCAUAGUGAUCCGGUGUUUCCGUAUGGAAGGGACAUCGCUCAAAGGAUAAAAGGUACUCCGGGGAUAACAGGCUGAUCCCUCCCAAGAGCUCAUAUCGACGGAGGGGUUUGGCACCUCGAUGUCGGCUCGUCACAUCCUGGGGCUGGAGAAGGUCCCAAGGGUUGGGCUGUUCGCCCAUUAAAGUGGCACGCGAGCUGGGUUCAGAACGUCGUGAGACAGUUCGGUCUCUAUCUAUCGUGGGCGCAUGAAAUUUGCGUGGCUCUGACACUAGUACGAGAGGACCGUGUUGGACUGACCUCUGGUUUACCGGUUGUGCCGCCAGGUGCAUUGCCGGGUAUCUAAGUCGGGAUUGGAUAAGUGCUGAAAGCAUCUAAGUACGAAGCCAGCCACAAGAUUAGAUUUCUUUUAGGGUCGUUGUAGACUACAACGUUGAUAGGACGCAGGUGUACAGGUGGUAACAUCACAGCCGAGCGUUACUAAUUGCCCGAUGACUUUCUUUU